CCGGAGGGGGGUCUAAUAUGGACUCCGUCUCCCCACCGAAUGACAUUAUUGCUUCGCAGCAGGUCGUCUCCGCUGAUGCCGAUACAACGGCGACGCUGACGCGUGGAGCAGCAAUUGGAUUUUGCGGAAAAGCAAUAAUUCCAACGGCCUGACAUUUACUUACAUUUGCAUGCUAACGGCUUCCGUUUAGGAUUAUUUCCCACCGGCGAUGUGCAUUUGAGCGCUAUCUCCGAUAAUUAGCGGCGUGUAAUCGUAUAUGUGGAUUUGUGACAGCCGUGGCGUGCCAUAAGGUUAUUAGCAGUAAAAGGUUUGCUUCUCACCGUCUUUCAUGGAGAGGAUUUUUAGUCCAAUCAUUACGCUAUCAGAAAUAAUGCUACGCCUGGAGUUGAUUUCUGUCCCCUCAGGUACCCAAGAGCAAUACAUACAGCUAAUUAAUGGACUCAAAGGUAACUUUUGCCAGGACACUGUAGUGUCAAAGGUGGAAGGAGGGAAAAACAUAUUUGAUCAAAUAUUAUUAAUGAGUAUGAAAAUAAAAAAUAUAUACUUGAAUACUGUAUCCAGUGGCGGAGCUAAAGGGGGGCAUUGGUCUCCCUUGAAAUAUCCAAAUUAUUUUUCUGGCAUUUUUUUCGUAGAAUUUGGGCGGUUGAAAAAUCCUAGCUCUGCUAGUGACUAUUUCUUGAUGAUGAUGAAUACAUGAAGUGGCGGCCUUUUUGGGGUGGAAUUUGUCGAGGCGGCUUCCGGGUUCUCUGCCGGACGCCCUCUUCCUUCUCAGCCAGACUCCCAAUACUUUUCAGGCUUGGACGAUUUUGUUUUCUCCAGCGUGGAACUCAUCUCCCUGACUCUAAAGUAAGUUUGAAUCUUUUAUUACACUGUCGAUCUUUUUUUUUUUUUUCACAGUUGGAGUGCCUGGGAGAGCGGAGGCUUCGUGGCCGUUUGUCUGCCGUCGAUCAUCGGACACAAAGUAUGGCUGCGGAUCGAGAGUUUGUUUUCUCUCCCUCUCCACCCCCUCCCUCCCCCCUCCCCGGCCGGGGAGGUGGUUAGGUGGUACCCAUGCUGACAGCGGCUAUCUGGAUUCUCGUGGCCAAUUCAGGAUAGGGGAACUGCAGCUCAACCUCCUCGAAGAGCACUGCCAGGACAAUUGAGGGCUCCUUUCGGCAGCCCUCUGCUGUGACAUGGAGAUCCACUUUUUAUUUAAUUGAUUUUCAUGUUGUAUCAUUUGUGCCCUCUCUGCAUCCAUUUCAACCUGGUGAUCCUGAAAGGGGGAUCCUUCCAUCUGUGGUCCCUUCUCAAGGUUUCUCAUUUUCCCCCUGCUAGGGGUUUUUAAGUUUUUCCUUGCCCUUUUGGGAGCUUAAGAUCAGGGGAUGCUUUGAGAAUAAUUGUCAAUUUCUGUCUAUGUGAAGCCCUUUGAGACUGCUUGUGAUUUAGGGCUAUACAAAUAAACUUGACUUGACUUGACUUGACAUGAA